rnacentral:rRNA from 1 species
AACGAACGCUGGCGGCAUGCCUAACACAUGCAAGUCGAACGAGACCUUCGGGCCUACUGGCGCACGGGUGCGUAACCCGUUGGAACCUGCCCUUAGGUUCGGAAGAACGCCCCGAAAGGGGUGCUAAUACCGGAUCAUAUCUCCGGACCAAAGAUUGAUCGCCUUUGGAUGGGCCUCCGUUGUAUUACAUAGUUGGUAGGCUAAAAGCCUACCAAGGCGACGAUCCAUAGCUGGUCUGAGAGGAUGAUCAGCCACACUGGGACUGGGACACGGCCCAGAAUACUGCAGGAGGCAGGAGUGGGGAAUAUUGGACUAUGGGGGGUAGGCUGAUGCAGCUAUGCCGCGUGAGUGAUGAAGGCCUUAGGGUUGUAAAGCUAGUUUACACGGGAUUAUAUUGACAGUACCAGGAGAAUAAGCACCGGCUAACUUCGUG